rnacentral:rRNA from 1 species
GGAUGAACGCUGGCGGCGUGCUUAACACAUGCAAGUCGAACGAUGAAGCCCAGCUUGCUGGGUGGAUUAGUGGCGAACGGGUGAGUAACACGUGAGUAACCUGCCCUUAACUCUGGGAUAAGCCUGGGAAACUGGGUCUAAUACCGGAUAGGAGCGUCCACCGCAUGGUGGGUGUUGGAAAGAUUUAUCGGUUUUGGAUGGACUCGCGGCCUAUCAGCUUGUUGGUGAGGUAAUGGCUCACCAAGGCGACGACGGGUAGCCGGCCUGAGAGGGUGACCGGCCACACUGGGACUGAGACACGGCCCAGACUCCUACGGGAGGCAGCAGUGGGGAAUAUUGCACAAUGGGCGMAAGCCUGAUGCAGCGACGCCGCGUGAGGGAUGACGGCCUUCGGGUUGUAAACCUCUUUCAGUAGGGAAGAAGCGAAAGKACGG